AAUGAACGCUGGCGGCGCGCCUAAUACAUGCAAGUCGAGCGAGAAGACGUAGCAAUACGUUUGUAAAGCGGCGAACGGGUGAGGAAUACAUGGGUAACCUACCCUAGAGUGGGGAAUAACUAGCCGAAAGGUUAGCUAAUACCGCGUACGCUCCUUGGACUUCGGUUCAGGGAGGAAAGCGAUACCGUGGGGUAUCGCGCUCUUGGAUGGGCUCAUGUCCUAUCAGCUUGUUGGUGAGGUAACGGCUCACCAAGGCUUCGACGGGUAGCUGGUCUGAGAGGACGAUCAGCCACACUGGCACUGCGACACGGGCCAGACUCCUACGGAGGCAGCAGUAAGGAAUAUUGCGCAAUGGGCGAAAG
rnacentral:rRNA from 1 species